UACGUAGGGCGCAAGCGUUGUCCGGAAUUAUUGGGCGUAAAGAGCUCGUAGGCGGUUUGUCGCGUCUGCUGUGAAAACCUAAGGCUCAACCUUGGGCUUGCAGUGGGUACGGGCAGACUAGAGUGUGGUAGGGGAGACUGGAAUUCCUGGUGUAGCGGUGGAAUGCGCAGAUAUCAGGAGGAACACCGGUGGCGAAGGCGGUUCUCUGGGCCUGUACUGACGCUGGAGGAGCGA
rnacentral:rRNA from 1 species